AUUAAAAACCAAAGCAAAACAAACAGAAAGCCCAUUAAUUCUGUUUUUAGCACCCCCUGUGAGGUAUGACGCAAUGCCGUCAGUCACAGGGCAUCCACCUUCUGCUUCUGUCCUCACUCCAUUUCCUUCCUCCGUCAUUGAUUCCAAUUUAAAAAUAAGGAAAUCACACUUUGAAGCUUAUCCCCAGCCCUCCACAGAGAGUAGGAAACGCUAGGUUUUACUGGGGGAGGGGAUGCGGCAGAGUAGAAAGAUUUAACUGCAAAUAUAUGGACUCUUAAAAGUAGAAUGGGAAAAGAAUGACUUAGCCUUCUUCACAGGACAUAGACUAGCAAAUGUGUGUGUGUUUGUGUUUGUGUGUGUGUGUGUGUGUGUGUGUGUGUGUAUGGAUAUGGAUAUAUCUAUAUCUAUAUCUAUAUAUUUAUGGUUGUGUCCCCACUUCCCUUCUUAGGAAAGCGUAGUAAACAACAGGACAGUCUUUCUACUUUGCCUUUAAAAGUGAUUGUGUGCAUGUGCCCGGCAGGAAGUGUGCAUUCUAUGGCACACUUCUCCCCGUCCCCCUUUAAGUGGGCUCCGGGGAUGGAAUUCAGGUCACCAGGCUUAAAAGGCAAGCGCCUUGACCUAGCGAGUCAUUCUGUUGGCCCCAGACUUGCCUUUCCCUCACAUAACCAGAGCUCUUUGUAAGAGAUACUUACAAGUAUUGUGUACAAGGAUGCCCUGAUGUUUGCCACAGUUACAUUGCGUUCUGUUGACAGACUGACUGCCAUCAGCAAGCUUGUGAAAGGCAGUCUAUUCCGUUCUGUUGUCUUCUGUUUAGAAACAGACUCUCCUGUAGCCCGGGCUGGCCUUAGCCUCCUGAUCCUCUUUCUCUGCCUUCCAGGCACAGGGCUACCAGGUGUGUGCUAUGCAUGACGAGCCUUUUAAAAGUCUUGUUAGUGUGUUUGUAGAUUCCAAACAGUAGGUUACUGGGCCAAAAGUGGAUGUGUGUGUCACCUCCGUGGACACUGGAGUGCAGCAGAACUAGUGCUGGCUUUGCAGUUCUGUAGCAGUUUACAAAUGCUGCUUCAGUGCGUCAUUGCCAGCCAACGUGUUGCUUCCGUUGCUCUUGGAUUUUUACCAAUCUGAUAGGUGAAGCUGGACUUGGUGACAUUUAUAGUCCCAACACCUGGAAGGUGGUGUUAGGAGAAUCAGAAACCGUAGGUCAUUCUCAGUCGCACAGUGAGCUUAGUGCCAGCCUGGGCUACCUGAGACCUCCCCACCCCCAACCCCCUUUUAUGUCAGUCUGUUAAGAUGUGUAGUCAUCUUUUAAUGCAACUUUUAAUGUUAAUAAUUUCUUAAGUUGUGAUGUUGAACAUCUUUAUAUACUCAAGAGCCAUUUUCAUUUUACUUUAUGUGAAUCAUGUGUUUUUUAUGAAGUUGGAAUUUAUUAAGGAUUCUUUUCCCCUUCUAGUAGGGUGUCAUUAUGUACUCCAAGAUCACCAGGUUGAUCUUGAAUUCACAGAGCUACACCUGGCUCUGCCUCCUAGUGCUGGGUUAAAGGUGUGGCCACCAGAUUUGGCCCGUUUGGUUUUUGAGACAGUGUACAAUGUCGCUCAGGCAGGCCUUGACUCACUAUCUAGGCCAGGCUGGCCUGCGCUCCUGUCUCAGCUCCCUGAGUGCUGGCAUUCUAGGCAUGAGUUACCAUAUCUGGCUUAAAAAACAAAAAUAUAACAAAAAGAUCGUUGGAAUGCUAGAUUGAGCUGAGGGCCCCAAGCUAGCUACACAAGAGCUCUGCCCCAGAGCUGCUUCCACAGGCUCCGCCCCUGAGCUCUUUCUGCAGUCCUUCUUAGGGUUUUAAGAUACUCAAUAUGAAUAUCAGGGAAUCAACACAUUCCACUGAAAGAGAAAUGGUUACUUCUUCACCAGCCACUCAACCUGGAAAUAAUGUCAGCCUCACACAUAAACCAGGCAAAUGGAAAUAAAAUGCUUUCAUGAAAAAUGCUCCCUUAGAGUUUGGGCUAGCAGCAAAGGUGGGUAUUUAUCUCAUACCUAGAAUAUUUAUCGACAAAUUGGACUACUGGGAAGAAUGUAUUUCAAAAGCAAGAUUCCGACCAGGAAGAGCUCUAUAUCUGAAUGUAGCUUUCAUUGCUCUUCCCCGGAGAAAAGAAAAUAUAAGUCAGACCAUGCAUGGGCUGGGGAAAUCUAAGGGCUUGCCAGCGAAAGCAGCACACAGAAUCCUAUUUACUGCUCAGGAAUCCCAGGCAUUGGAGCCCUAAAGGAUUGUGGGGGUUGGGGGUGCCUCUUGUGUAUGCAGACAUAGCGGGCACGCUCACACAGUUCAGCUUUUUUGAGGUGACUUGUAAAGACUUCAAAACUAAAAGGUUCUCAUUCAGCAAGGAAAUGAUGAUUCUAGCCCUAAAGGUCAUUGGGGAUGUUAGAGUUGUUCCUUCCGGGUGAUGUUUUAGAUAAGUUAUGAAUAUAAGUCACACAUGAGCUGUGAACUAGUAAAAUCUCUAAGACUUUGAUAAAGUCAUUAUAUUUUCCAAAUAUUUCUUGAUUAGCUGCUUUAUACGCUAGGGAAAUAGGCGUGGGCUAAAGAGUGGUUUGUCGCCCUGCUUGGCUCAUAAAAACAAGCGGCCACGUAGGGAGGGACGGAGACAUGUCUAGCUUGUGUAUGUUUGGAAAUUACAUUGUCUGUCUUUCUCUUUCUACCUUUCCAUCUACGUACCCACCGUCCAUCCGGCCACCCACAGGCUUUCGUGGUGUAGCACAGGCUACCUCUUACGUUCCUUUCACCUCAGCCCCCUAGAUGCUAGGAUUACAGGUGUGCUCCGCCACAUCCCGGUUUGGAAGCCAUGUUUUAGAAGCCCACUUUCUGUCGUGUGGGAGAAUGUCAUCUCAUGGUUGCUGAAAGUUGUUUGUUCCCACCCUGGUACCAUCUUUUAGCACCAUGUUUACAUAUCCAGUCGGAUACAUGAAUUCAAUGGAAGAAGACUGAGAAGAGUUUUUGCUACUUUUUAUUUAUUUAUUUGUUUAUUUAUUUAUUUUUGCUUACCAGAAAACUUCAGAAAGGGAUUGAUGAUGUUCCAUAAAGCCGAAAAGCCCUCUUAGACCCCACAGAGUUUGCUGGAGAGACUGACUGGCUGUGUUUGAAAUACUAGAUUGUCCCCUGUCUGUAGUUGUCUUUUUAUUUGGGAAGGGAAUAAAUGGUAUUUGAAAUAUGCUAACGUUUAUUGUAAAAGUAGCUUAGUCAGAUUUGUAUUCUAUAGCUGUCUCUCAGGCUACCCUUUCCCUAGUUCUUGUAGAGCUCAGGGAUCUAGAGAUUGUUCUAGAGACUCUGAGCCUCUUUUCCACCCUUACCUCUUCAUUUGCCUCACAAGUGGGGAUUCCUGCUAUGGUCAAAAUGGCAUCAUUAGGCAGAUGAGCCUACAGAUUAAUGACAUGAACUCUUUGCUUAUUGUGACAAGGUCUUGUUACGUAGCCCUGGCUGACCUCAAACUCCUAGUGAUCCUCCUGCCUCAGCCUUCUGAAAACUGGGAUAAUAAGAGUGGCAACUCAGGGCUGGUGAGAUGGCUCACUGGUUAAGAACACUGACUGCUCUUCCAGAGGUCCUGAGUUCAAUUCCCAGCAACUAUCUGUAAUGAGAUCUGAUGCCCUCUCUGGUGUGUCUGAAGACAGCUACUGUACUCAUAUAAAUAAAUAAAUAAAUAAAUAAAUAAAUCAUUUUAAAAAAAGGAGUGUCAACUCUACAUCUGGCUUAUGAGCUAUAUCUCAGAGGACCACUCUCAUUUUCUUGUGGCUGGAGAGGGGGUUUUGGGGAGGGUGCUGUAUGUUGCAUGCACAGUUAAGGAGCUAUGUUACUCCACAUAAGAAUGGUGAUGGCUUCGACAAGUUCAUUUCGACAGUGAAAUGGUGACAGAUAAUGAGGUUUUAGAUAAAGUUUGAUGUUGAAACCAAGGACCUGCUGGCAGAUUGGCUUGAGGUGAGAGAAGUAAGUGUGUAUCUUAGGGUUUUACAGCUGUGAACAGACACCAUGACCAAGGCAACGCUUAUAAGGAUGACAUUUUAUUGGGGCUGCUUAACAGGUUCAGAGAUUCGGUCCAUUAUCAUCAAGGUGGGAGGGGAGCAUGGCAGUGUCCUGGCAGGCAUGGUGUAGGAAGAGCUGAGAGUUCUACAUCUUCUUCCGAAGGUAAGCAGCAGACGACUGGCUUCUAGGCAGCUAGGAAGAGAGAAUUAAAGCCCAUGCCCACAGUCACACACUUACUCCAAUAAGGCCACACCCACUCCAACAAGGCCAUACCUCCUAGUAGUGCCACUCCCUGGGCCAAGCGCAUUCAAACCACCACAGAGUCCGAGAAUUUUUUAGGCUCAGCAAAUAGAAAAAUGAUGACGGCAUUUGCUUCCAGCCAGAAUUGGAGCCUCACAUUGGUGACUGCUGCCGCCCUUUCUUGCUCACUUUGGGACAUGCUUGUUUUGAAAUGUUUGACUAAAUAAAUGGGCACCCCGUGGUGCUGACUCAAAAUUACCUCUAAGUCCAACUUUUGUCAUAGGGCAUUCAUACAGAAAUCCUUACGCUAUCGUUAAGUCCCCCAAAUAAAGAGAGUGUAUAAUACUUGAUUCUUCUUGAUACGCUUGUAUCUUCAAUACUGUGAUAGAAAAUUAACAAUGCUUAGUCUACCAUGAUAAAAGAUCAGUGUAUUUUACAUGAUGUGGGAAGUAGAGAGCCAGGUAAGAUAUUUCCUUAACAUAUAUCCUAGCAGAUCUCCAGAACAAGAGGGGAGAAGGUUGUCUUGGCAAUUUCCAGCUCCCACCUGUCUCUAUAACUGGUCCUAUGGGUAUAAUGGCUUGUGUCUGUGCCCUCUGACUUCACCAAGCAUCUCAGGUACCCACAUCUCCCCUGCUGGAGUGACCCAAACCUUUAUUUAUGGUGAAUCUGGGCCAUUAGUGGUCCUGGCUAAAUUGGGGUCCAGUCACCUUUAUAUAAAAUGUAAUGUUUAUUUUUUAAUUAUCCUUAUUUAUUGGAGGAGGGUGGGCUGCAUGUGCCACAACCCAUUUGUGGAGGUCAGAGGACAACUUGUAAGAGAGUUGGCUCUCUGAUUCUACCUUGUUGGUUCAGGGCAUCAAAAUCAGAUUGCCUGACUUGGCGCCAAACACCUUUUAUGGGCUGAAUGAUCAUGAAGGCUUAAGCUUUAUUUUACCAUCUUUAUUUAUUCUAAGCCGUCAGUGGCAGUGGAGUGUGGCCAGUGACCCAGCUCAGCUGCUGUCCCCAGCAUCCUGCAGUCGUCUCUUCAGAGACUGUAUUAAGAAUAGAGCUUAUGAUAAUUUACAUCACAGGCUUAGUAGAUAGGUUUGUAGGCUUGGGCAAAGGCUAGGACACACCCAAGUGUGGCUGUGGGCUUCUUGUUUUGUUUUAUUUUGUUUUGUUUUAUUUUGUUUUGUUUUGGUUUUUGGUUUUUCAAGACAGGGUUUCUCUGUAUCGCCAUGGCUGUCCUGGAACUCACUCUGUAGACCAGGCUGGUCUCGAACUCAGAAAUCCACCUGCCUCUGCCUCCCAAGUGCUGGGAUUAAAGGCGUGCACCACCACACCCACGGUUGUGGGCUUCUUAAGAGAAAGUCACAAUUAAAUGUCUUUGCAAUAGUGACAUAUAAUUUUGGUGACUUCUAAGGUUCCAUCUCCAAGGGUACCUAAGGAACCCAAGUGUGACCAUAGGUUGGUUCUUGAUGUACAUUGGACAGGAUUGCAGCUAAUAAGAUUCAAAUCUGCAUCAUUAUUUAUUCCUUGCAGAACAUCAUUGCCAAGCCUGCCUCUUAAGUUCUAACGCAAAAAGGGGUAACCUCCCCUCUUCCCUCAUUUUCUGUUUCUUUAGAUACUAGCCAACAUCCUUAGCAUGGUUGCUCUGAUACUCUGGGCUUUUUCAAUGUUUUCUUUGAAGAACCCCACACAUUAUACAGCUGCUUACGGACCCAUUGCUGUCCCUAACUCAAAGGCAUGACUUUUGUUCCUCUUCACCUGUCCUGGUAGCCUGCCCUAUUGUUUCUCACUCACAGUAAUAAAAGGUUCUCUAGAGUUCCAAAAGCAAACAGAAACCCAAGUCAUGAGGGUUGGAGAGGAAGUUAAGUGUUUGGUUUUUGCUGUAAAUGAAAGUUUAUAGUCUUCCUUGUGAGAAUCCCGGAAAUUUUCAGGUUUACAUUUUGGAGAGGACUAAGGUCACACGCUGUAAUGCAGCAGGGCUUCCGCAGGGGCCCUGGCUAUUUUAACAUUUUUAGUUGAAAUAAAUAUUGAAAGGAAUAUUGCUUGUCUGUAGGUGUCCUUCACAGCAAAUGUUAAUGGUGCUGGAAUUCUUGACUUUUGGCUGAUGAAAGCCUUCAGCCAGACUCUGGAAUGAGGAGUUCCUUUCCUGUCCCAUGGUCCCUUAUUCACUUAUAAAAAGCUGUGUCCCUGUCUCUGUCUCUCUGUCUCUCUGACUCCGUCUCCCUCUCCCUCUCUCUUCCCCUCUCUCUUCCUCUUUUCCUCUCUCUCUCUCUCUCUCUCUCUCUCUCUCUCUCUCUCUCUCUCUGUCUCUCUCUGUCUCUCUCUCUCUGUCUCUGUCUCUCUCUCUCUGUCUCUCUCUCUUUCUGUGUGAAAGGGGGCUGGCCUGGAAGUUUCUCCUCCUUCCCUUUUUCCCUCCCACCUUUCUUCCCUCCCUCCUUACUUCCCUCCCUCCCUUUCUUCCUUUUGAGGCAGGGCCUUAUGUAGCCCAGGCUGGCCUUAAACUAGAUUUGUAGCCAAGGAUGACCUUAAACUUCUAAUCCUUCUCUUUGCCCCACCUUCCCAGGAGUACCCCUCCAUACCUGCUUUGCUCGGUGCUGGAGGUAAAUACUGUGACUUUAUAAACACUACCAAAUGAUCCACAUCCCACAGCACACCAUUCAACUGGGAUGUUUCUACAUAGCUCAGUCUGGCCUCUAACUCACAAUCCUCCUGUCUCAGCCUCCCAAGUGUUAGGAUUGUAGUCAUGUAUCACCAGCACGCAGCCUUGCACCCGAGGUUUUGGUGCUCAGAGUGCAGGGCAUAAAACGUUACAGAAGGAAGUCUGUUUCCUUGAUCUCUCAUCACUAAACAGUUAGAUCUCGUUGUCACUGAAAACUGAUGAGCCUACCGCAGCUCGCACACUAUUGAGCCCGUGCUAAUAAAUGCAACAGUUGUUCAUAACCUGGUGGUAAAUGACCUUUAAAUGCAACCAUUUAUGGAAGCUGUCCGUGGGGAACAAUUUAACUUCCAAAUGAUGUUCAGGAGUACUUAUCAUUUAAAUAUGCUUCCUUCUGUCAAUACAGAAUAACAAACACUGGUUAGAUUUCUGAUGUUGAUUCAGACGGUAGGAAAUCUGCUGAAUAAAUUAGCAUGCGUCUGAUUUAUAUUGACCAAAAUUUUUUUACACUGCCGUGUUACAGGUCAAGGUGACAUACAUUUAAAUGCACCGUAGAGCAGGGGUCACAUCUGACUGACAGGAGUGCUUACGCUGUUUUUAAUUGACUUUUAAAUAUUAUUCUUAAAUUGUUUCUCAAGAGCCAACUAUUCGACACAGGAAUGAGUUACCUUAGGAUGUUAACGGAGACCUUAUUUUAAAAGUCAGUAAUCUUGGACUAUUCCCCUAAAAAUUAUGGGAGUAUAUUAUGGCUUUAUUUUAGCUGCUAAUUUGUAUCAGAUACUGAAUGCGUUAGGCCUUUUCCUUUGAUUAUUUUGAGAACCAUUCUUAGAGAACAUGGACAAAACAACAAAGUACCAGACAGUUACUACAGGAGGUACUUCUGAAGCAAGACUGUUUUCUUAAUGCUCUUGAGAUUUUUCAUUGAUGCUAUUAUGUGUCUGGGAAGGAGAUUUCUCUGCAGGGGAGAGAUGUAGGGGACUUGUUCCAGUCAUUCCUGAGUGGUCUGGAAGCCUUUGUAGCCCUUGAUCCGCCCUCUGAGAGAGUAUCAUUACAUAGAAUCUCAAUGCUUUGGCGUCUCAACACCAGGCAUUUUGGUUUCCACUCUUCAGGUUUUUAUUUUUGCCCCAUGGAAUAAAUUGUGUCUGCAGAAUUCACAGUAGAGUGUGGGACUGUACAAAAAGCUUUUAAUCUUUUUAACCAUGGGAAUUUUUUAUUUCUUUUUAAAGCCAGGCAUGGUGGUGAAUGCCUGUACACCCCAGCACUAGGAAGGCCGAGGCUAGAUCUUUGAAGCCAGCCUGGACUAGUUAUCUGAGAUUCUGUCAUUAAACAAACAAAACUAAAACCCAAACCAGCCAAGCAAAUAAAUAUCCACAAACAUGAAAAGGCAAAGGAAAGGAUGAUGGCUCAGUGGUUACUGCCUUAGAGAGGAUGCAGGUUUGAUUCCCAAAUGGUGGACUGCUCAAAACCUCCUGUAGUGUCAGAUCCAGGGGACUGAAGCCUUCUUCUGGCCUCAUGGGUACAGUGGCAUACAUUCAUACACACACACACACACACACACACACACACACACACCUGCCCUAAAAAUUAUAAAAACAAAUUAAAACAAAACAAAAACCCGUUGAUGUUAACCAAACAGUGUGCUUUGGGGCUUGGGGUAAGCAGGCUGACCUGGGCCUUGCAUCCGGAGGAGAUGCGUGCUCUCAGAAGUCAGCACACAGUCUGCCCUCCAGAGUGAGCAGGCUGAGUGUAGUUCUUUAAAGUAAGAGUCCUUGCCUUGCCAGGUUAGUGACAGUCGUAGUUAGUGACAGAGGCAGAGGCAGAGGCAGAGAGAGAGGCAUUGAGGCAGAGAGGCAAAGAGGUAGAGAGGCAGAGGCACGGGGAUCUCGCAGUCUAAGAUCAGCCUGGUCUAUAGAUUCCAGAAUAGUCAGGGAUACACAGAGAAACCCUGUGUCGGAAAAAAAUAAAAAUAAAAAGAGAAGAAAGUGGUGGGGGAAUGAAUGACAGCGUGGUGUGCCUGUGGGAUGAGUCACUCGCUGGUGACUGGGAGGAAGGGAGGGCAGAGCCCUGCAGUGGUAUCAGAUGCAGAGGGAGGUGGCGGAAGCAGUGAGCCAAGUGGAAAAAGUUUUGGUUGUCAGCCCCCACCGAGGUAGGCUAAGUGAAAGGAGGAGGGGUGUGCUGGCUAGUGUUUCUUGUGUUGUUUGUUGCCGGCUCUACAGGAGCCACUGAUACCUGGAAAGGGGAGCCACAAUUGGGAAAAUGCCUCCAUCAGAGCACUAACAGGCAAGUCUCUGGGGCGUUAGAGCCUAGCUCCCCACGAGCAGUGCAAUUGCUGGGUGUGUGGUCCUGGAUCCAAGAAGAGGAAAGCCACGGAGAGCAAGCCAGUAAACAGUGUUCCUCCAUCGCCUCUGAUUUAGUCCCUGCCUCUAUAGUCUAGCCUUGACCUCCUAGAAUAAACUCUCUUCUCCCCAUGUUGCCCUUGGUUAUGGUGAUCACAGCAACAGAAAUCAAACUAGAACAGGGAGGGGUUUGUAGUGUAAGGGUCUAAAAAGCUCUGAAGGAAGACCCCAGACUCAGAUAGUAUGCAAAAACAAAGAGCAUUUAUUCUACAGAAGCAACCAGCAUGCAUGGGUCAACCAUUCUUUGAGAUGGCAACCUCAGAUAAAGGCAUAUAGGCCUUAUAGGGAACUGGGGGAACUCCCUAGAAGGAUUAGGUAAUCUGAAAUUUCAUUGGUGGGUGCUAGGGGGUCACAGGUGAUCAGUGGUCUACAUCCCUGUGUCAUGAACCGUCAGCCAUGUGAUGAAAUAGGGCUGUCCAGCACAGAUGGCCCAUUCUGAGAUGAGACAUUUCCCCAUUUUUGUGGUUAUCCCCAGGCUGUUCUUUGGGAGGGGGUUUUAUGGUCUGUUCCUAGAGCUGGUGUCUUAUCACCUAGUUUCUGGGACUUCCUGUCUAUUCCUGAAGCUGGUGCCUUACAGCUGGUGCCUUUUUUUGAAAUCAGGCCUGGUCCUCAAAAUGGAGACAAAUGGGGUCCUUAAACGGGGACAAAUGGGGUUUAUAUUGUCCUUUCAGUUGCCAUUGUGAUGAUUUUUACUGCUAAAUAGCUAAAUUUCCAUCACAAGGACCAGGGCCUUCCUGUGCUAUAGCCAGCUGCUGAUUCAAGUGCACAUCCCUGGCUGUACUUCAGAGUUAUCCAGAAAGGCUACUCACUGGGGAUGCCUUGCUCUCAUUUGAGAGAGUUUGAGAGUUCUGGGGGUGUGGAUUAAGUAUCAGAUGCCCCACCUCCUGCUUCUCCUGCUGAAGACUGAACCUAAAAUCUUGUCUGUGCUGGACAAAUGGUCUACCACUGAGCUACACACCUAUCCCAGCGGGAGGGUUUUUCUUUUGUUGGUUGAGCCAGGGUCUCACUGGUUAGUCCUGGCUGCCCUGGCACUUCCUGUGUAGACACAGAGAUUAGCCUGGCUGUGUCUCCUGAGCCCUGUGAUUACAGGCGUGUGCCACAAGGCCUGGCAGGGAGGCUUUUACAAGGGUCUCUGGUGUGAUUCUGAUGAGUAGCCAGGUGAAAGCUACUGCAAUGAAGCAUCCCCACGCCCACGGAUGACCUCUGAGGAUAUUAUUAAGGUUUGAGACAAUGGUGCAGAGCCUGAGGCUAUGAAGGGAGUUCAAAACAGCCCCCCAAAAUGGGUUUUCAGGCUCUGCCUGGGCUGUAGGACUCUCUAGGUGAUUUUAAUUUGUAGGUAACCCUGCACACUGUGGCAUGGGUAAGUUACCCUGUGUUUCUGUUGCUGUGAUGAACACCCCGAAGGAGGAAGGGAUUUAUUUCAUCUUACAGGUUACAAACUAUCAUGAAGGGAACCUAAUGCAGGAACUCAGGAGCUUGGACCAGAAACCACAGAGGAAUUCUGCUUACCGACUUGGUUCUAAGCGCAGGUUUCCUACCAGCUUAGGUCUGUCUGCCUAGAGAUGAUGCCACCCAUGCCCUGUUGUAUCAACUAGUAAUCGAGAAAAUGCCCCGCAGAUUGCCCGUAGAAGUUAGUUCUACCCAACUUGACAACCAAGAUGAGCCAUCACACCGUUUCAGAAAGGUGCUCUCCAGAGUGUGUGCUGGGGUAGCAUGAAGGAGAAACGUCAGCUUUGCUUGGAAGAUGUAGAGGGCCGGUCACAUUCUGAUUCAGCAGAAGUGCUUCCCGCCCUGGCUUAUAGGCACACCAACUUCAGAGAAACUCCUCUGACCUCAGCCUAUUUGAGGAACUUCUAAGGCAUGUGAUGAAGCCCUGGGCCAGAGCCACUUGGUUCCACAUCCCAGCCUGCUCACUAGUGAGGGAGCUUGUGAAAGUCAUCUGUUCUCCCAGAGCCGCACUUCCCCCCAAAACGCCUACCUCAGCUUUCUCACAGGCUCAAGUGUAAACUCUACGUGCACAGUAAGAACUUGUAAUGUGGGAACAGCUAUUAUUCAUUCCGAAUGCUGCUAAUUAUAUACUUAUAAUUAUAUACUUAUAAUUAUAUAUUACACGUUUUUGACAGUUGGGGUUCCCAAUGGUAUCAUAUUUGUUACUUCCCUUUCAUUGUAUAUUAGAAUUUUUUGAAAGAAUUCUGUAUUUACCACUUCAGUGGGAAACUGUGCUUUUUUAUUGAAAGACAAGAUCCCAUGCUAGGUUGGUGUAGCCAUGGCAGCUCCUGCCCUUUCUGCCUGUGUCUGCCACUGCCCCGGCUUACUAUACUGGCCUUGGCUAAUGCUCAGCACCACACUGUGCCUUGGGGGGAACUCAGGAAAGGCCCAGGACUCUGCAUCCAUCCUUGAUCUCUUGAAGGUGCUUGGAAUGCUCACACACUGAUACUACUGUUUGUAGUGACACAUUCCGUUUGACGUUAUCAGAAGUCAAGGACAAAGUACUAAAUGUCUUGAAACUCUAUGACAACAUUGACCAAGAAAAGCACUCAGUAAAUUCUCAUUUUAUGAAGUACCAAGGGUCAGAUGGUUUGGGCCAACUGGAGAUUAUUUUGGCUAUGGGAGAUAAUUUGGAGUUGAAAUUCCUGAUAGGGAUGCAGAGAAGUUGAUGUGUCCAUGAGAAACUGUAGAAUAUAUUGCAUGUAAGAAGAAUAUAUAUGAAUAAUGGGUCAGUCUUCUACAUCACCAAGUGGAAUUCCAGUUUGGAGCAAGUUGGAAAGGUAAAACAGCUCCCUAAGCAAGUCCCUCAUGUGCUGAUGGAAAGUGGAAACAGUCGCUUUGACCCGUUGUCCUCUCGUCAUCUGUGCAACAACUCUCCAUUUCCUGAUUGAAUUGACACUGGUAAUGUUACACAAACACUGGCAACUACUGGCUGGUUGGACAGAGUAGAUGCUCCACUCCACAGCACUUCCCAAGGACACACAGACACACAGACACACGCACAUACACACACACACACACACACACACACACACACACACACACACACACGCAUACACGUACGCAUGCACGCACGUGCACAUGCUCACAAGUUCCUAGCCAGUAUUGGUUCUGCUGGAGUCUCCUGCACGUCUGACCCACGGCAGCUCUCUGAAACCCUAUGUCUGCCAAGUCUGCUUAGCAAAUCUGUGGGAUGACUCAGGCACAGCAACAUCUGCAGCCUGGUUCUUAGGACAGCACCCAACCACAAACAGCCCAGCUCGGCUUUGAGGGAUAGAGGAACUGGGCUCCAAUUGUUUUCUCGUCCACCAUAUUCGUCUAACUCCUCACCAGUGGGCUGCCACUUCUUCAAGUCUCUUGACAAAUUUUUUGCAGAGAAAAUGCUUCUGUGACCGGCAGGAUGCAGAAAAUGCCUUCCAAGAGUUCGUUGACUCCUGAAGCCUGCAUUUUCAUGGUAGAAGAAUAAACUUACUUCCUGUUGCCAAAAAAGGCAAGAAUUAUAAUUUCUACUUUGAUGAAUGAAGAUACGUUUAAACCUAGUCACAGUGAUUGAAAGCACAGUCUGGAAAUGUCUUUCCUCUUGCACCAGCCUGGUUUACUGCUGCAGCUAGCAGUGGGACAGGGCCAGUCCUAUUCACACCGGUGCAGUCUUGUGUUUCACUCUGAUCAGAACUUGACUCCUGACUCAUUGCUGUUGAGGUUCCGCCAGUUCAGAUGAGGUCAGCUUGGGUGAAGGUUGUUUGUUUUGUUUUUUUUUUUUCUUUCUUCCCCCAAAGCUAUUUUUGCAGUCAGAGUUUGUUUUUCCUGAGUUCUGGCUCUAGUAAAUCUCUGUGCAACUUUUUUUUCCCCAAUGACCUGGAGGAUUCUAAGUGCCUGGGUGGGGAAGCCAGCAGUCUAAUUGGAAGUGUGGCACCGGCUUCGUAAUGAUCUGCUGUGAGUGUGUGGUCGAUCUGGGUGGUUGGUGAGGCCUGACGAAGGGCUGGUGGGGAGAACUGGGCAGAUGCUGUAACAGUUGGCUGAGGACGGACGAGGUAAAGUCACAGAGAUGAGGCAUGUAAGGCACAGUUUGAUAUGAGUCUGGGAAUAAAGCCUAGUAACAGAGCAGUAGUCUAGCAGGUGCACGCUCUGGGUUCAAUGCCAGAACUGUGCCCUGCUCCAGAGUCCUUAGCACCGGUAUUUAUUUAGAUUUUUUUUCAACCAGUGAAUUUUUAAGGCCUUUGGACACUGUCCUAGACUUUUAGAGAUCCUAUCACAUUAGGGUUUUAUUUCUUUUUUUAAGAUUUUUUAAAUCUGCAUGAAUGUUUUGCCUGAGUAUAUGUGUGUUCACCAUGUGUGUUUUUGGUGUCUGCAGAGGUAAGGAGAGCAUCAGGUCCCCUGGACCUGGCAUUGCAGGUGGCUGUGAGCCAUCAUGUGAGUGCCAGGAAUUGAGCUCAGGUCCUCUGAAAGAGCAGCCAGUGUUCUUAACCACCGAGCCAUCUCUCCAGCCCAGGUUUGUUUUCUUUCUCUAAGACUCUUAGUAAAACCAGCAGACUCUUAAGGAAGUCUACCUAUUUGUGAAGUAGUAUGUAGUAGAGAUGUUAUUUUGUCCACUGAUCUCUUAUUAUUUUUAUAUCCAUACAGUUAUAUUGUUAAACAUAAAUUGGGACAGUUUCUUUAUCAUUAAGAAGGGCUAACAAGGAGACUGAGGACAUAGCUUUGUUGGUAGAGUGCUUGUCUAGCAUGCACAAAGUCCAGUGUUUGAUUCCUAGCACCACAUAAACCAGGUAUAGUGUUACAUGCCUUUAAUUCUAGCAUUUGAGAGACAGUGGCAGGAGGAUCAGAAAGUUUAAAGUUAUUCUUGGAUUAGCAUAGUGAGCUCAAUGCUAAUCCAGGCUAAAUGAUACCCUAUGACUUAAGAGAGAGAGAGAGAGAUUGAGAGAGAGAGAAAGGGAAGAAAAGAAAGAAAGGAAAGAAAGGGAAGAAAGGAAAGAAAGGAAAGGAAAGGACAGGACAGGACAGGACAGGAAAUAAUCUUUGCAAUAUGCCUAGCAAAGGUACAGUUAGUUCAUUGUCAGCAGAUUUGUAAUGGCUGUCCUCUGCCUCCACAAGUGUGGCUUAGUUCCGUCCCCGAAAGCCCUGGCUAGGAUAUAGCUGGAGAGGUAUGUGGGUUGCAGAGAGGUAGCAGGUAAGGGGUCUGGGGUGAGGGCUCUUCACACACUAGAAACUAGGUGGCAUUGUGGAGGUAGGCCGCUGAAGUGAAGGUGUGAAGAAGAGGUGUAGCUUUGGAUGCUGACUAAGGUAUAGUGUGUUUAACUUAUUCUGAUUCUCGACCAAACAGCACUAAAGUCAGCACUUGUGGUAAGGGAGAAAUAGCACUAGGCUCAAUUAAUAAAUUUGACUUUUGGGGAAGGUGUUCUAUGAGAAAAAAGUAGCAGCAUAGUUGAAGAAUAAACUUGGCAAGUCAUGAGACCUCCCUGGAGAGGCUCUUGGCUCUCCCUUCACUAGCCACAUGUUGAAUGGGGACCACUGACUCUACUACCCUGAGCUUAGAGAGAAUAGUGACCAAUAGAGACUGUUUAAUAACCAAAUGAAGUAAUAUUACUCCCAAAUACCUACUUAUAGUUGGUUCUGUAACAGCAUUGUCUACAAACUAAAAUAUUUUGUUGUUUUGAGUCAGGCUCUCAUGCAGCCCAGGCUAGCCUUGAGCUUGCAGUCCCUGUGUCUCAGCCUCCUGAGGGAUCCCAUGUAGGCACCACCAUUCUGGGCUGUAUUGAUCUGUGUGUAAUAGACCCUAAAACCCCUUUUCUCCCUUCACACUGCCAAAGCUGAACAGCAACAAGAAUAAAGCCGUUUUGAUGAACGUCAAAUAGAAGUUUUCAGAAUGGCAAAGGGAUUUGGGGUACACAAAGUUGAAAUUUGACCUAAGUUUAUUUUAUUCGUGAACAGUUUAUAGACAGUCGAGUGUGUGUCCAGUAGAGACCACUAAAGCUGAUUAGUGAUACAGUUUCAACAACUGAUGACAAUAUCCUGGGGGGUAAUUGCUACUGAUGCUCCUUCUCCUUCUCCUCCUCCUCCUCUUCCUCCCCCUCCUCCUUCUUCUCCCUCACUCCCCACUCCUAUUCCUCCUCCUCCUCUUUUUCUGGAGAACAAGGGCACAUUUUGGGGCAGCCAGAGAGAACGUGCACUUCUCAAGUACUAUACUGUGCUUCUUGCCAGUCUCUGCAGUCUGCAGGGUGCAGAGCAAAGCAUCCAGGGUGUGUGCUUGAAGGUGCUGGCGUUGAGCCUCAGCUCACAGGCAAUGAUGGAGGUUUUGAGACUGAGCUGGGGAGGAGCGCAGUGUUGGGAGACUUCCAAGACUUCCAAGAGAUGCUGCACAUGCCCUGUUUGGAAUGCUGGGGGGGGGGGCUUUAGCUAAGUGGAUGGAAAGGAUCGGGCUGUGUGGAUAGUGAACCCCAGCAAAUGUAGACCAAUACAAAUGAACUGUGUAUGGUGGAGGCACAGCGUUCAGGAGCUCCAUGGUGAGUAAGAGCCAUUGUGUGAGGUCCUAGAAGAGCUACCUUGGUUAUAUGAGGCCCUGGAUGCCAGAGCAGCAGCCCGUGAUGGAGGUGAUGUGUUGUGUCUUUUCCAGCUCCCAGUGGAGGGGAGAGGGUGAGAGCACUUCCUAGGAGAUGGAGAAAAUGAGUCAUAUAGAGGAGAGAAGGCCCCACCACAGGCACUGUGCGUAGCAUUGGUAGGACCACUGCAGGUCCUUCUGGGAGCUGGGCAGUCGUGGUGUUAAGGGGUGGGGCCACGUCUUUGUGUAAAAUGAUAGAACUAUACAAAAUAUUCUGAGCAGUGUAGUGACUGGGCCUUGAGGAUGGCAUGUGCUUGGGCUUCCUGUGAACAUUCCAAAGAAAGCUAGAUGGAAAACGCGGUGGGGCUGAGCUGAGGCUGUCCCGCAAGAUGGUCUGGACUAGAGCAGCAGUGUGGGGUGAACUCAGGAGAUGCUGAGAAGGAUGUCACUGUGCACCAGAGCUGUCUGCAGCCAGGCGCAGUGAUGUGCAUCUGUAUACCCCUGCACAGUGGAGACCAAGGCAGAAGACUGACUUCCAGCCCACCCUGGGCAACAUAGUGAGACCUUGGGCUAUAUAGCAAGACCAUGUUUUAUGCACCCCUCCACCCCAAAACCCUAAUAACAACCCACCAAACUGUCUACAUUGGUAGUUAAAAGAAGAAAAAAAGUACUCUUCUGAUUUCUUCCUGCCCUGUGCUCCUGAGCCCCUCCCCUCCCCUGCCCAAAGCUAGUUAACUUUUAUUUCCUCUUUCAAAUCAAUUUCAGGUUCAAAAAAAAAAAAAAAAGAAAGAAAGUAGGACACCUUGGCUUUUGCUGCCCUUGACUCUUCCAGAUGCCUCUGGUUAUACUCUCCCUCACAUCUACAAUAAAAUCAUUUCUCAGCCACCUCUAGGAGCUGUCAUGUCUUCAUUCUUGUUGACUUAGGAAUUCAUUGUCCGUUAGAAAAACAAUGUGAGCCACAUAGCAACUUAGUAGUAGCUGUACUAAAAAAUAAGAAGUAUGAAAAAUGAAUUGUAUCGUUAUAUUUUAAUCAAAGAUCAGCAGCAGAAACAUCACUUCUGAGGUUAUUUUGGUUUUGUAGAAGUUCGUGCGAUUUUUACUGCUCAGGAAUAACAGUCCUUCCAGUUGACAGGGCAGAGUAAGGAAGUAGGAGAGGUUUAUUUUAUACUGAAGCCUGCAGUAAAGAGGAAUGGAGGUCCCUGGUAUCAGGAGCUGCCGUCUCAGGACAUGGCCCCUUCUGCUCCCAAGAGAAGCUUAUUCCACCAUCAUCUGUGUCUUAAUUAGGAUUUGUAUUGCUGUGAAGAAACACCACAACCAAGGCGACUCUGAUAAAGGCAAACAUUUAAUUGGGGCUGGCUUACAGUUUCAGAGGUUUAGUCCAUUAUCACCAUGGCAGGAGGCAAGGCAGUGUGCAGACAGAUGUGAUGCUGGAGAGGUAGCCGAGAGGUCUACAUCUGGAUCUGCAGGCAGCAGGAUGAGACUAUGAGCCACUGGUCUGGCUUGAGCAUCUGAGACCUUAAAGCCCACCCCUAGUGACAUACUUCCUCCAACAAAGCCACACCCACUCCAGCAAGGCCACACCUUCCAAUAGUGCUACUGGGUUUUUGUUUUUUUCCAAACCACCAUAGUCUGCCUCCACUGCUGAGUCAAGUUCUCUCCAGGCACUUGCUUCAGCUCAGGUAGGGAGUAUUUUGUCUGUGGUCACCUUGAUUUUAAGUUUAUGGCAGUUUGAAACUAGGAUGAGGAAAUGGAGGGAGGGAUGUCAGUCAAAUCCUGGGGUUGCAGAUCACAUUUCUAUAGCCCAGAGCCGUGAGGCCUGGAAUAAGUUAUAGUCCGUCAAUGUGCUUCAGUUUCCUUAUCUCUGAAGUGUGGUAGUCAGAACAAAUUUUGUUAUUUAUUUACAUUGGGACAUGGUCUCAUGUAGCCCAGGUUGGCCUCAUAGCUCAGGUAGCCUUGAAUUCCUGGUCCUACUUUGUCUCUACCUCCCAAGUUCUAGGUCUACCAUCUUGUCCAGCACAGAUCUUAAUUAAGUGAGAUGCCGUGUCUAUGUCAUAAGAUUAUUGUGGAAGACUUAGAACACCUGGUAAUUUGACCUUCAGUGAAGGCUUCUCAAAUAAUUUAAAAUUUAAGAUGUUUAGGUAAUUCUAUUUAAAUGAUGGUUAACUGCUGCUAUAGCUAAUUUUAUUUUAAUUUUAAAGGAUUUUAUCUUGAAUUAUACAUAGAUGUGUGUGGAUGUGUGUGUGUGUGUGUGUGUGUGUGUGUGUGUGUGUGUGAGUGCAGGUGUCAGACCAGAAGAACGUGUCAGAUUUCCUGUGACCUGCCUCAUGUAGGUGCUGGGAAUUGAUUCCUGGACCUCAGGAAGAGAAGCCAGUGCACUUAACCACUGAGCCAUCUCUCCAGCCCCCAUAACUAUAGCUGGUUAAAAAAAUAUGUGUAUGUAUUGCACACAGCAUGCUACAUAGUGUGGAGGUCAGAGGACAGCCCGGUGGAGUUGGACAGCUCCUUCCUCGAUGGAGUUUUGGGAAUCAAACUGAGGCUUAGGCUGUAGUGGUGAGAACCUUUAUCCGCUGAGUUAUCUUACCAGUUUUCUUUCUCUGUACACACACACACACACACACAUGCACACACACACACACACAUGCACACACACACACACACACACACACACACACACACACACACACAUUUAAAUGAAUAAAUGUAUGGGGAGCUAGAAAUAUCUGAAAUUUUAAAAUAAUUUUAUUCAUUGUGUGUAUGCCUGAGUAUGUGCAUAUGUUCGUGUGUGCAUGAGCCCACAGAGGUCAGGGAGAAUGGUGGAGCUUCUGGAACUGGACUUACUGUGCGGGUGCUGGGGACAAAACCCAGGUUCUCUGAGGCAUCUCUCUAGCACCUGAAAUCUUGACAUCAGAGUUUAACCAAAAACUAUCUCCUUCAGCUUUACAUCUUACUCUGGAAAAUCCCACAGCAUAGAUUUCAGUUUUUUUGUCAUUUUUAAGUUUUCUAUUUACUAAAUUGAAAUAUAUUGAGCAGGAAUAUGUGUAUGUUUUAUAGGAGACUCCUUAGGGAGUUUCAGAAACGGAAUAGCACACUUGAGCACUGGGGGCUGGAGGAUCUGAGAAGCACGCCUCUGACAGGCAACAUUAUUUUACUUGCAGUACAAACUGAAAAAAACCUUUUCAUUAAGAAAAGAUGAAUACAGGGCUAGAGAAGUGGCUCAGGGGUUAAGAGCUCUUGAUGCUCCUGCCAGGACCCAGGUUUGGUUCUCAACACCCAUAUGGCAGCUCACAGCUGCCCAUAGCUCCAGUUCUGGGGCAAUCCAGUGCCCUCUUUCAAAAUGCAUGGGCAUCAAGCAAACAAGUGGUACACAGACAUAUAUGCAGGCAACGAACUCUUAAGAAUAAGAGUAAAUAAACCUUUACACACUCCCUCUUUCUCUCUCUCUCUCUCUCUCUCUCUCUCUCUCUCUCUCUCUCUCUCUCACACACACACACACACACACACACACACACACAUGAAUGCCUAAAUAAAAGCUGAUAGAUGGAUGCACAUCUCUAGAGUCUUAGUAGCUGGGAGGAUGAGACAUGAGGAUCGCCCCAGGCUAGCCUGUGCUACACAGCAAAUUCCAAAAAAAAAAAAAAAAAAAAAAAAAAAAAAAA